AGUGCCCCUUCCAGCCUGUAAGCUUGGAUGCAUCGAAUAAUAGAAAUAGGACCCUCGCCUCUAUUUUGUUGGUUUUCGGAAUCCGAUGUAAAUGAUCAAUGGGGACAGGCGGGGGCAUUCGUAUGCGACGUUAGAUGUGAAACUAUCGCCUCGUCGCAAGACGGACCGAAGGGAAAGCAUUUGCCAAGUAUGUUCUCGUCGAUCAAGAACGAAAAGUUAGAGGUUCGAAGGCGAUCAGAUACCCGCCUUUAGUUCUAACCAUAAACUAUGCCUGCCAGCGAUCCGCCGAAGUUCCUCCGAUGACUCGGCGGGCAGCUUCCGGGAAACCAGAGCUUUUGGGUUCCGGGGGAAGUAUGGUUGCAAAGAUGAAACUUAAAGGAAUUGACGGAAGGGCACCACCAGGAGUGGAGCCUGCGGCUUAAUUUGACUCAACACGGGAAAACUCACCAGGCCCGGACACCGGAAGGAUUGACAGAUUGAGAGCUCUUUCCUGAUUCGGUGGGUGGUGGUGCAUGGCCGUUCUUAGUUGGUGGAGCGAUUUGUAUGGUUAAUUCCGAUAACGAACGAGACUUUAGCCUACUAACUAGGCGUACCCGGUAUCCACAAUCGUGCUACCGGCGAUCAAAUUUUUUUUUAGAGGGACAGGCGGGUUUUAGCCGCACGAGACUGAGCAAUAACAGGUCUGUGAUGCCCUUAGAUGUCCUGGGCCGCACGCGCGCUACCAAGAAGGAGUCCGCCUCUUUUCCCUGUCGGAAAGGACCGGGAAUUCUAAGGGGCCUCCCCUCUUUAGGGAUUGGGGCUUGCGAUUUUUCCCCCCCUGGGGGGGGGACCCCCCCCCUCG
rnacentral:rRNA from 1 species